UACGUAGGGUGCAAGCGUUAAUCGGAAUUACUGGGCGUAAAGCGUGCGCAGGCGGCUUUGCAAGACAGAUGUGAAAUCCCCGGGCUUAACCUGGGAACUGCAUUUGAGACUGCAUGGCUGGAGUGCGGGAGAGGGGGAUGGAAUUCCGCGUGUAGCGGUGAAAUGCGUAGAUAUGCGGAGGAACACCGAUGGCGAAGGCAAUCCCCUGGGCCUGCACUGACGCUCAUGCACGAAAGCGUGGGGAGCAAACAGG
rnacentral:rRNA from 1 species